GGCGCAUGGUGGCUUAGUGGUUAGAACGUUCGCCUCACUCCAGGGAUGGGGGUUCGAUUCCCGCCGUGGCCC